ACUGAGCCACCCAGGCGCCCCUUAGGAUUCCAUAUAUUAAGUGCCUCCAUGGAUCUGCUUUCAGCAGCUGGCUCUUUGGGUGAGACUGACGUCAUUUUCUCAGUGGCUUCUGUUCAAAACCACCCAAAGACAGAGUACAAGCAGGGGAGUGGCAGAGAGAGAGGGAG